rnacentral:lncRNA from 1 species
UAAUAGUUAGAAUAAUAUAAUAUAAUAUUAUAAUAUAUUAAAAUAAAAGAUAGAGUUGGCUAUAUUCAAGUGGAUCUCCGCUUAGAUCUGAUUAUGUCUAUAUUAGAUGAUGGGAUCUUACAUUGGGGAUCCAAGCUAUUAGAUGCGAUCGACUAUAUCACACCCUCGACCUGAAAUCACAAGUCAGAUACAUGGCAAACGUUGCAUACUUAUAGGGUGUCAUUCCUCAAGCAUGCAAUAUGAUGGCAAUUGGGCGUGCGUGAGCCAAACCGGGGGCAUGCGUGAAGCAAGGUAUGCUAAACCGACCGGAACCGAAGGCACCGGUCCGGUACGGCAUAUAAAAUCG